UCUGCUUCACUUUACAUGAUUGAUUCAUUGUGUGUGUGUCAACAUUUGAAUUUGGGAAAUGCUAUCAUUAUUCUGAUAAGACCUUUUUCUAUUUCAGAUCCCUUACUGGAGGCCAAUGAUGGGGAACAACUCCUCCCUUUUGAUAAGUGGUAUAUCGCCCCCUGCUGUAACAGGUCUGAAUUGACCUCUUCACUGAAUUCGCUAACACUUCAUCAUCAUCAUAAUUGAUCACAAACGAUAUAUCCCUGUUACAGAGUCCUUACUGCAGACGAACCUUAAACAGAUUCCUCCUAUGGGUGUUUCAUCUAACAGUAAGGCUGGGAUUCAAUCCCAGGCGUGUCAUAGAGGUUCUCACUGGACAACCGUCAACACGCCUUUUUCAAGAGACUGAGGAGGUGAAGACACAGAGCAGGUUAUGUCCUUCCAGCUGGACCAGAUAUGGGUCCUGCUGCUUUAUGUUUGUCAGUACGCAGAGGACAUGGCUUGAGGCAGAGCCUUCCUAUAGCGACACUCUGGGGCAAACCUUGCGUCCGUACACAGUUCAGCAGAGCAUCACUUUGUGCAAGAGUUGGACGACAUACGAAUGAUUUAACCUAUGCUUGUAUCGUAGGAUUUGACCAUGUUCAGAACCGGGUGUGGCUUUGGAGUGAAGGGUGAAGAUUGGAUGACACUAGCUGGCACACAGGAGAACCCAACAACUACAAUGGCAAGCGGGAGCCUUGUAUGAUGAUGAACUCUGGAGGUGAGAAACGCUGGAAUCAUGAAAUAUGUAGAAACAAAUAUUAUUUGGUGUGUGUUAAAAUAAUCUGUUAAUAAAUCCUGAGAAACGUCAACGGGAAGAAAAAAUGAAACUUUAUGUACCUGAUACUGUAUAGUAAACAUGUUUUCAUCCAGUGUUAUUCAGAAUCUUUGAACAGCAUCACUGCUGUUGUCUGAACUACGUGAUGAUUCAUGACUGAAAUGAAACGUAAUUAUAUUUUUUCAUCAUUAGUAUUUCCUUAAUUCUGCCUUUUUAAUGCUAAAUGUUUUGUGAUGUAACUGCUAAGAAAUGCAUGAUAUUCGCUGCUUUCUUUUUUAUACAGACAU